AAAAUAAAUAAAUAAAUAAUAAAGCAUGCUAUUGUCUGCCAAUUAAUUUAUUAAUUGUAAGUAAAAAAUGUAAAAUACUCAAAAUACAUGAGAAUCAUUCGUUAGUUUGGUGUAAAAACAUCUAAUUUACUCAAAUCUUUUCCAAAAUAUGUUUAGACAUUAACAUCCAAUUAAUAGGCUAAUAUAGGUAAUUAAGAAAGAUUAUAAUUAAAGUUGCUUUCAUAAUGAUGUAAAUUUCCAUACGAUUGAUGUUUGAUUGUUUAAUGAAAGCUUUUUCUUCUAAA
rnacentral:misc_RNA from 1 species